rnacentral:rRNA from 1 species
GAACGCUAGCGGCAGGCUUAACACAUGCAAGUCGAGGGGCAGCGGGGAGGAAGCUUGCUUUCUCCGCCGGCGACCGGCGCACGGGUGAGUAACACGUAUGCAACCUGCCCCUGUCAGGGGGACAACCCGCCGAAAGGCGGGCUAAACCCGCGUACAUGCCACCGGGGCAUCCCGGAGGCAGGAAAGGCUUCGGCCGGACAGGGAUGGGCAUGCGGCGCAUUAGGCAGUAGGCGGGGUAACGGCCCACCUAACCGACGAUGCGUAGGGGUUCUGAGAGGAAGGUCCCCCACACUGGUACUGAGACACGGACCAGACUCCUACGGGAGGCAGCAGUGAGGAAUAUUGGUCAAUGGUCGGGAGACUGAACCAGCCAAGCCGCGUGAGGGAGGAAGGUACAGAGUAUCGUAAACCUCUUUUGUCAGGGAACAAAGACUGGGACGCGUCCCCGGAUGAGUGUACCUGAAGAAAAAGCAUCGGCUAACUCCGUGCCAGCAGCCGCGGUAAUACGGAGGAUGCGAGCGUUAUCCGGAUUUAUUGGGUUUAAAGGGUGCGCAGGCGGUCUGUUAAGUCAGCGGUCAAAGCCCGGGGCUCAACCCCGGCCCGCCGUUGAAACUGGCAGUCUCGAGUUGGAGAGAAGUAUGCGGAAUGCGCGGUGUAGCGGUGAAAUGCAUAGAUAUCGCGCAGAACUCCGAUUGCGAAGGCAGCAUGCCGGCUCCACACUGACGCUGAGGCACGAAAGCGUGGGUAUCGAACAGGAUUAGAUACCCUGGUAGUCCACGCAGUAAACGAUGAAUGCUGGCUGUCCGGGGGGACUGACCCCUGGGUGGCGAAGCGAAAGCGAUAAGCAUUCCACCUGGGGAGUACGCCGGCAACGGUGAAACUCAAAGGAAUUGACGGGGGCCCGCACAAGCGGAGGAACAUGUGGUUUAAUUCGAUGAUACGCGAGGAACCUUACCCGGGCUCAAACGGGGAGUGGCGCAGGCAGAGACGCCUGUUUCCCACGGGACACUCCCCGAGGUGCUGCAUGGUUGUCGUCAGCUCGUGCCGUGAGGUGUCGGCUUAAGUGCCAUAACGAGCGCAACCCCCGCGUGCAGUUGCUAACAGUCAACGCUGAGGACUCUGCACGGACUGCCGGCGCAAGCCGCGAGGAAGGCGGGGAUGACGUCAAAUCAGCACGGCCCUUACGUCCGGGGCGACACACGUGUUACAAUGGGUGGUACAGCGGGAAGCCAGGCGGCGACGCCGAGCGGAACCCGAAAUCCACUCUCAGUUCGGAUCGGAGUCUGCAACCCGACUCCGUGAAGCUGGAUUCGCUAGUAAUCGCGCAUCAGCCAUGGCGCGGUGAAUACGUUCCCGGGCCUUGUACACACCGCCCGUCAAGCCAUGGGAGCCGAGGGCGCUUGAAGUGCGUCGCCGCGAGGCGCGCCCUAGAGCGAAAUCGGUGACU